rnacentral:snRNA from 1 species
GUGCUCGCUUCGGCAGCACAUAUACUAAAAUUGGAAUGAUACAGAGAAGAUUACCAUGGCUCCUGCACAAGGAUGACAUGCAAAUUUGUAAAGCGUUCCAUAUUUUU